GCGACCAUACCUGCACUAAUGAAUCGGAUCCCAUCAUAACUUUGGAGUUAAGCAUGCUUGGGCGAGAGUAGUAUUAGGAUGGGUGACCCCUGGGAAGUCCUCAUGUGGAACCUC